GAAUGUCGAGAGCAGAGCUCGUGCGCGGAGGGGAUGUGACGUCAGAGAGGCGCGCCUCCCUCCGCUCGCUCACUAGUCGUUGAAUUUCGAUGAAAAACGGGAGAAAGUCCGAGUCACAUCGACACGGAGCGGCGGAUCGCGACUGUCACACACUCAGCCAUGUCAGACUUCCACGACUCUCUGGUCGACGUCUCCAGCGACAGCUUCUGGGAGGUGGGGAACUACAAGCGCGUGGUGAAGCGCGUGGAUGAUGGGAACCGGCUGUGCAACGACCUGAUGAACUGCCUUCACGAGCGCGCGCGCAUCGAGAAGAGCUACGCGCAGCAGCUGAGCGAAUGGGCCAAACGCUGGAGGCAGCUCGUGGAGAAAGGUGUGUGUGUGUGUGUGUGUGUGUGUGUGUGCUCGUGGAGAAAGGUGUGUGUGAGCGAGUGUGUGUGUGUGUGUGUGUGUGUGUGUGUGUGUGUGUGUGAGCUCGUGGAGAAAGGUUGCGCUCUCAUCGCCACUGACUCAUUUCUCUCUAGAAAUUUGCUUAAUCUGAAAAGGAUGUUUUGAGAUGGUUACUAGGCUGCUGAGUGUGACCUCACUUCCCCUAAACACUCUAAAAAGAGCUGCUGAUGGGAUUGUGAAUCAUCUGAGGAAGCCUUAUAUUGAGGAAGUGGAAGUGGAUCAGUGCUUCUCAAGACCGGGAACUUAUGUGACACGUGUGUGUGUGUGUGUGUGUGUGUGUGUGUGUGUGUGUGUGUGUGUGAGAAAGCUGCUUCUGAAACCAUCACUGAACGUCAAUCUCUUCCUAUCAUCCCAUGAUGUAGUCCACCCGCUGGCGACGCCCCUGUUUACGAGUCACGACAGGCUUCGUUAGCUCCGAGCGCUGCAUUUCAAGCACCGUUGAUCAUUGAGUGUCAGCUGCA